UUGCUCUGUGUUUGUGUGUGCAUGUCCGCGUGUUGCUCUGUGUGUGUGCAUGUCCGUGUGUUGCUCUGUUUGUGUGUGCAUGUCUGCGUGUUGCUCUGUGUGUGUGUGCAUGUCCGCGUGUUGCUCUGUGUGUGUGCAUGUCCGCGUGUUGUUCUGUUUGUGUGUGCAUGUCUGCGUGUUGCUCUGUGUGUGUGCAUGUCUGCACAUUGCUCUGUGUGUGUGCAUGUCUGCAUGUUGCUCUGUGUGUGUGUGCAUGUCUGUGUGUUGCUCUGUGUUUGUGUGUGCAUGUCUGCGUGUUGCUCUGUGUGUGUGUGCAUGUCCACGUGUUGCUCUAUGUGUGUGCAUGUCCGCGUGUUGCUCUGUGUGUGUGCAUGUCCGCGUGUUGCUUGUUUGUGUGUGCGUGUCCGCGUGUCGCUUGUCUGUGUGUGAACAUCUGUGCUUGUCCUGUAUCUGUGUUUAUCUGUAUACUUCCAUGUCUGUGUGACAGAGUCCUUGUGUCUGUGUGUCUACAUGUCUGCGCGUGUCCCUGUGUCUUUGUGUAUAUAUAUCCAUGCCUGUGUGCCUGUGUUCCUGCGUGUGCUUGUGUGUGCACGUGUGCAUCUGUGUGUUUGUCAGAGUAUGUGUGCAUGUGUGUGUCUGUCAUCGUAUCCAUGUGUGCAUGUGUGUGUCUGUCAGCGUAUCCGUGUGUGCAUGUGUGUGUCUGUCAGCUUAACCAUGUGUGCAUGUGUUUGUCAGUGUAUCCGUGUGUGCAUCUGUGUAUCUGUCCGUGUAUCCGCGUGUGCCUGUGUGUACCUUUGUGUGAGCAUCAAGGGACCUCCCAGGCCUGGUGCUCACCGUCCGCCCCAACGCAUCCUGCAUUGCAGCGACUCCAGCUCGGACACAGACAGCUUCUACGGCGCAGUUGAGCGGCCUGUGGAUAUCAGCCUUUCCCCGUACCCCACGGACAAUGAAGACUAUGAGCACGACGAUGAGGAUGACUCCUACCUGGAGCCCGACUCCCCGGAGCCCGGAAGGCUUGAGGAUGCCCUGAUGCACCCACCGGCUUACCCACCACCCCCAGUGCCCACGCCCAGGAAGCCAGCCUUCUCUGACAUGCCCCGGGCCCACUCCUUUACCUCCAAGGGCCCCGGUCCCCUACUGCCACCCCCGCCCCCUAAGCACGGCCUCCCAGAUGUUGGCCUGGCUGCUGAGGACUCCAAGAGGGACACACUGUGCCCGAGGCGGGCUGAGCCUUGCCCCAGGGUACCUGCUACCCCCCGAAGGAUGAGCGAUCCCCCUCUGAGCACCAUGCCCACCGCACCCGGCCUCCGGAAACCCCCUUGCUUCCGGGAGAGUGCCAGCCCCAGCCCGGAGCCCUGGACCCCUGGCCACGGGGCCUGCUCCACUUCCAGUGCUGCCAUCAUGGCCACUGCCACCUCCAGAAACUGUGACAAACUCAAGUCCUUCCACCUGUCCCCCCGAGGACCACCCACAUCUGAGCCCCCACCUGUGCCAGCCAACAAGCCCAAGUUCCUGAAGACAGCUGAAGAGGACCCCCCAAGGGAGGCAGCCAUGCCUGGACUCUUUGUGCCCCCCGUGGCUCCCCGGCCUCCUGUGCUGAAGCUGCCCGUGCCUGAGGCCAUGGCGCGGCCCGCAGUCCUGCCCAGGCCAGAGAAGCUGCAGCUCCCGCACCUCCAGCGAUCACCCCCCGAUGGGCAGAGUUUCAGGAGCUUCUCCUUUGAAAAGCCCCGGCAACCCUCGCAGGCUGACGCUGGCGGGGACGACUCAGACGAGGACUAUGAGAAGGUGCCACUGCCCAACUCGGUCUUCGUCAACACCACGGAGUCCUGCGAAGUGGAAAGGUCAGCACAAAGCCCUGUGUGUGCUGGGUCCUCCGCCGUGCCCGGCUUCCUGCUUCUGUGUCCCUCUCACUAGCUUCCGUGUUGGGGAGUUGCUGGCACAAGUUCAUGGCCCUGCGUGCAGCAGAAACCAGAGGAGUGGACCUCCCUGCUCUGUCCCAUGCCCAGCUGGCACCCUGGCUGGCCAGGGCUCUGCUGGGCUGCUUCUGUCAGCCUCACGGCAGCCCGACGUGCUCAGUGCUUGAGACCUACAACAGCGAGAGGACAGAAAGCCAGGCUUGGGAGCGGGGCGGGAAGGUCCGUGUGAAAGCUGCCCGAGGAGGACUCACCCGCUAAUAUGACUGUCUUAUUUUAGGUUGUUCAAGGCCACAAGCCCCCGGGGAGAGCCCCAGGAUGGACUCUACUGCAUUCGGAACUCCUCUACCAAGUCGGGGAAGGUCCUGGUUGUGUGGGACGAAACCUCUAACAAAGUGAGGAACUAUCGCAUUUUUGAGAAGGUGAGAGGGCUCUGAGUGGGACGGGGACCCUGGCCGCAUGGCCUGGCAAGGGGCAGGGCAGAAUCUCCCUGAUGAGGCAUAGGCAGCGGGUAGACUGAGACUGGCACCUCCAGGACACCGCCCUCCCCUUCCCCUCCACCAUCGCUCACCCCCCACCCCUCCUGCUCAGCCUCCCUCCUCUCCUGGCCUACCUUUGUCCUCCACUGACCCUAGUGGGGAUGGGCGGUCAGCCAUAGACCCUGGGUUGCUUGUCUUGUCUUUUUCUUUUUGCGGGGACAGGGGUCUCACUGUCUUUCUCAGGCUGGUUUCAAAUUCUGGGGCUCAAGCAAUCCUCCCACCUCGGCCUCCCACAGUGCUGGGAUUACAGGCGUGGGCCACCGUGCCUGGCCUAGGUUCAUUUCCUGACCUUGUCUGAAGUGCUCUGGGUGCAGGCUCCUGGACAUGGAGGACGGAGGGGAAGUGAGGUGGGAACAUGGAGAGCACAGGCCUGAUGCGGAGGCCACCUUGGGGGCACCACCGACAGCCAGGGGCCAGCCUGGCGAUGCCGCUGUUGCUGCUGCUGCCUUGUUUUACAGACGGGGAGACUGAGGCCUAGAGCUGCAGAGUGGCCUGGCCCUGCUGAUGCUCCCCCUCUCUUCCCCCACAGGACUCUAAGUUCUACCUGGAGGGCGAGGUCCUGUUUGUGAGUGUGGGCAGCAUGGUGGAGCACUACCACACCCACGUGCUGCCCAGCCACCAGAGCCUGCUGCUGCGGCACCCCUACGGCUACACUGGGCCUAGGUGAUGCCAGUCCAUGUGGCUGCCAGGCCAAGGCAGUCACAGGGGCCCUGACCCCAGGCCACACAGACGGACACGGGCCCACAUGGGAGGGUGAGCAGGAGCAAGGCCGUGCUUGCCUAGGGCCUCUGUGAUGGACAUCUCGUAGGACCCAGCCAGUCUCAUCCAGCAGGCUGGGUUCUAGGGCUGAACCAGGCGCCAGGCUCCAGAGGACGAAGGGACUCUGUUGCCCCACACUAACUUGCCCUGUCCCAAUCCCAGAAACCCAGGACCAAGCUGUGCCUGGGCUCCAAGGACAGGAACACUGGUCCCCCCAUCACACUCACCCCUAAGUGGGCUGGGAGCCAGGCAGGGCCAGGGCAGCUGGGUGGGGGCCGGGGCUGGCCCUGGGACCCCCAGGAACGCUAAGACACAGGUUCCAGUAGGGGCUGUUGCCUCCAAUAAAGCAGCAGUGAGCUUUGC
rnacentral:sRNA from 1 species